rnacentral:lncRNA from 1 species
UAAAGUGGAAAAUUUGUUUUUAUUUUGAAAUAAACCAUUUCAAACAUACAUCACAUAAUUUCAAAUAAAAAACCAUUUCAAUUGAUUCUUGGAUCUAACCUUAGGAAAUGAACACAAUAGCUGAACUCUUUAUUCUUCAUCAUAUUCUCUCAAACAAUGUUAUUACUUAUUUGAUUAACAUUCAGCUUAACAUGGAAAUUCACAUAACUUUGAUUUCAUAACUACUUCGCCACUACUUCAUUUGAUUUUGACAAAUAAGAUAAAUGCUCAAAUUUCUUUGGAGGAACCUAAAUAAUUCUUUGGGCUCAAAUUUUAGAGGGUUUUGCAAAUCAACCAAAGUACCAAACAUAGGUAUUAUCAAAAAAAAGAAGUACCAAACAUAGGAGUAUUUGACUAUUCCUUAUCUCUCAUUUUAGAAACUGAAAUAACUGUGUGUGGUUUUUCAUAUUAACACUAUACGUAUAUAUAAGUUGUAUAUGCUU